UACGAAGGGGGGCUAGCGUUGUUCGGAUUUACUGGGCGUAAAGCGCACGUAGGCGGAUCGAUCAGUCAGGGGUGAAAUCCCAGGGCUCAACCCUGGAACUGCCUUUGAUACUGUCGAUCUGGAGUAUGGAAGAGGUGAGUGGAAUUCCGAGUGUAGAGGUGAAAUUCGUAGAUAUUCGGAGGAACACCAGUGGCGAAGGCGGCUCACUGGUCCAUUACUGACGCUGAGG
rnacentral:rRNA from 1 species